rnacentral:rRNA from 1 species
UACGUAGGUGGCAAGCGUUUGUCCGGAUUUAUUGGGUUUAAAGGGUGCGUAGGCGGCCUUGUAAGUCAGUGGUGAAAUACUCCAGCUUAACUGGAGGGGUGCCAAUGAUACUGCAGGGCUUGAGUACAGAUGAGGUAGGCGGAAUUGACGGUGUAGCGGUGAAAUGCAUAGAUAUCGUCAAGAACACCUAUAGCGAAGGCAGCUUACUGGGCUGUAACUGACGCUGAGGCACGAAAGUGUGGGGAUCAAACAGG